GAUGAACGCUGGCGGCGUGCCUAAUACAUGCAAGUCGAGCGAACGGACGAGAAGCUUGCUUCUCUGAUGUUAGCGGCGGACGGGUGAGUAACACGUGGAUAACCUACCUAUAAGACUGGGAUAACUUCGGGAAACCGUAGCUAAUACCGGAUAAUAUUUUGAACCGCAUGGUUCAAAAGUGAAAGACGGUCUUGGUGUCACUUAUAGAUGGAUCCGCGCUGCAUUAGCUAGUUGGUAAGGUAACGGCUUACCAAGGCAACGAUGCAUAGCCGACCUGAGAGGGUGAUCGGCCACACUGGAACUGAGACACGGUCCAGACUCCUACGGGAGGCAGCAGUAGGGAAUCUUCCGCAAUGGGCGAAAGCCUGACGGAGCAACGCCGCGUGAGUGAUGAAGGUCUUCGGAUCGUAAAACUCUGUUAUUAGGGAAGAACAUAUGUGUAAGUAACUGUGCACAUCUUGACGGUACCUAAUCAGAAAGCCACGGCUAACUACGUG
rnacentral:rRNA from 1 species